CGCAGCGGAGCGGAGGUUGAAGUGCCUGGCUUAAAACAGGACAUGUUAGCUGCAUUUAACCUUCUGUUACUCUUUAUAUAGUUAGUUAGGAGUCAGACCCUGUUUCUUUUUAGCUGAUAAACAUUACACCAGAGAGACAGCCAGGUUCAUAAUGGAUAUAAGGACGUUUUUUCAAAAAAAGGAGCCACAUUCAGAUUGCUGGUAAGUGGUAUCACAUUGGACUUGCCACGAAUGCUGAGCGGAUUAUCGACGUAAAGACAGAAUGAAAAUGGGCACGUAUGUGAUUACCCCACUACCCAAUGGGAAUUUGGAUUUAUCAUACACCAGUGUCUAUAAUGGCACAUGUCGGAAAAUGGAAAAAGUGGCCAAUAAGACCGACGUGCCUGGAAAGUUCAGACACAUAAGUCAGAGGCGCAGUGUGGACCUCAGCGCUGAUGUGCAGGAGAAGUUCAGGCAGUUCUCCUUGCAGACUGACUUCCUUCCUGAAAAUAUUUUCAUCCUUCCCAAAAGUGAUGAGUGUCCAGCUGCUGAAGACAUUAAAAUCUGUUAUGUAAAUGUAGCCGAGAACCAACCUGAGUACUGCUGGGAAAAUAAAAAGGCAAACAUCAAAAGUGCUGUAUUAUCUUAUUUAUUUUGAAUGUUGACUUAGAUCCAUACCACGAUUUAUGAAAUUAUAGAACUAAAAUAACAAAAAUUGUCUGCUUCUUUAAAAUUUCUUUUAUUACAUCAAACCAGUGAAAACUGAAAAAACAAAGACCUGUUAGCAUGUUUAGACCAACUUUGAGACAGAGACUGUAAAGUUCUGCAGGCCAUU